GUGAGAAACAAGGACGGACUCCUUGGGAGAAGGACGGUGGCAGAGUCAGGUCAGGGUCAGAACAAAACAGUGGAAAACCUCCUGAGAGCCAUUCACAAGAACGCAGCAGCCCAAGGGAUGCUACCUGGCCCUGGUUAAGCUGCAGGCCUAGAAACCAGGUGGUGGUGAGUUCUAGUCCUGCCUGAGCCCUGAAAGGCAACUGGGUGACCAUGGAUCACUCUCUCUCCCUCAGCCCAGCCCACCUCACAGGGCUGUUGUGAUGGGGAAAACAGGAGGAGGAAGGAGCAACAGACAUCAAUACAAUUGAACGUGUCCAGAAAUAUUUUACAAGAAGAGUUCUCCACUCCUCUGAUUACAACAAAAUACCUUAUCCCACCAGCCUUGAAAUCCUGGGUUUAGAAAACUUAGAACUCCGCCGCCUUUGACAGGACCUGAGUUUAACUCAUAGAAAUAUCUAUUGCAAAGUCCUUCCUGUUGAGGAUUACUUCAGCUUCAAACACAACAAUACAAGAGCAAACAAUAGAUUUAAGCUUAAUGUGAACCACUCCAAUCUUGAUUGCACAAAAUAUGACUUCAGUAACAGAGUUGUUAACGCUUGGAACUCAUUACCUGACUCUGUGGUUUCUUCUCAAACUCCUAAAAGCUUUAACCAAAAACUAUCUACUAUUGACCUCACCCCAUUCCUAAGAGGUCCGUAAGGGGCCUACCGUUCCUAUCCUAUUGUUUCCUUUCAUUAUAUCCAAUUAAUAGUUAUUGCAUGCUUAUGCUUAUAUAGAUAUGCUUAUAUAUUAUAUAGUUACUUUCAUGCUUAUGCUUAUAUAUACUGUUGUGACAAAAUAAAUAAAUAAAAUAAAUAAAUAGAUAUCUUAA